rnacentral:rRNA from 1 species
UACGUAGGGUGCAAGCAUUAUCCGGAGUGACUGGGCGUAAAGAGUUGCGUAGGUGGUUUGUUAAGUGAAUGGUGAAAUCUGGUGGCUCAACCACACAGACUAUCAUUCAAACUGGCAAACUCGAGAAUAGCAGAGGUAACUGGAAUUUCUAGUGUAGGAGUGAAAUCCGUAGAUAUUAGAAGGAACACCAAUGGCGUAGGCAGGUUACUGGGCUAUUUCUGACACUGAGGCACGAAAGCGUGGGGAGCGAACCGG